UGUACAAGAGAACUUUCAGGUGGUUGGCUGUCCUAGUUGUCAACACACGUGGAAACAGUGUUCCCUACGCUGUCGUUUAGUGCUCUUGCAAUCAGAGGCAAUGUUAUUCAGUUAAGUGAAACGGUGCGUAUUGCAUUAAGUUUAUAACUUGCAACGGUCACUAAGUUCAAAUUUUCAAUUGCCAGUUCUUUCUUCCAAUCUUCCCAAUCCUCCUUGUUCUUCAUUUCUCGUUCCUAACAUCUCCCUACUCCUAUUCACACUGAAGUCUAUGUAAAGAGGGAUGGUUUUUCAGGGAUGCAAAUGAGUGUUAACAAAGUGAGAAAGUUGGAGUUCUUAAUUGCUGAUGUCGUGGCUCAAGGGAGAAUCUCACUAAUAAUAGAUGGAAGUUUAUUUUA